AGGACACAUACAGCUAGCGCCUCUACCUUGUCGAGCGGAAAUCAUUCUAGUUAUUUUGGGGAUUUUCGUUUACAUUGCUUUAUGAACAAUACAAAAUUUGUAAAUGACAUUUGAUCGGAGUCGAUAAGUACGAUUUCUUUUAUUAAUUACAUCGGUUAUAGACAGAUGCCUAUAGAGUUCUGUGUCCCUAAAACGUCAAAAACCAGGCGACGCGAUCGACAAUUGGCGUCGCUGACCAGGGAUAUGCAAAUGUAUGCUAGUGUAUCAACCUAUCUAUUGUACAACCGUGGUUAUAAUAAACGAACCUGCAAACGUUCCCAAAUUAUUUAAUUAAAAACAACAUAAACAAGAAUAGCACUAAUAAAGCAAAUACUCAAAAUGAUGUCGCUUAAUGGAAAACCACACUAUUGCCACCACAAUUUAGAAAAAAAAAUCCAUGGAUGACUAGAGGAGGUUUGUUUUCAAUUAUAUGAGAGUCAUUAAUCUUAAAAACUGCAUCUUGACUACUUCGGACCCAAAUUUAACCAAUAAUUUUCUUCUGCAACGGUUGAAGGAGUUGAAGGGUAAUUCAAGGCGUAAUUCGGAACCUCCAAGAUCUUGUACUACCACCGUGUCUUUAUAAAAAAAUCCGUCGUAGUAGGAGUCGGCAGAAUCUAUGGCGAUCGCAUAUUUCAAAACCGCAAGCCAAGCUUCUACUUCAGCGUGCCCUUCGCGACGCAUGGUUAAUCCUUGCAAAAACUCAUCGUCGAUGAUGAUUUUAAUCUGACCAUUGUGUCCUUUAUCUAUACGAAGGACAAAACACAUUUUCCUAAAAACAUUAACAAGAAAAGAACAUACCUUUUUUGCUGUUUUAUCAGUUGUCACAAACAGCGUUAUAUCCACAAAACACACGUUAUAUCUUGCUAUUGACAGACAAAGACAAAUGCAGAAAUAGCAGAGAUAUAGUGAAGGAGAAUGGGGGCCGCCAUUUUAUCAGUUAACAUUAAAGUUUUGUUUACCUACGAGGUUACGACGUUCUUGAACCAGUUGUAAUUUGGAGUUAAAAUUAUUACUUAAUUUGUUUUACCGUUAGUGUACGUAUGAACGUGCUUGUUAGUGUUAAAGGACAUUAUUAGCAUUUCCACAACAUUUGAAGGUGAGGAACGUGAUCAGGGGGUGCUGUAGAAGAGUUUUGUGCAAAAAGUUUGUCCGAAAUCGCGAAGUGCUCUUUGUAAAAUUUGACCCAUUAUUAUUGACAACAAACAUGUCUUCUACAGUUUCUCACUGUAAAAAUUGUCAACGAUUUCGUUCAGAAGGUGUAUCUUUUCAUCAGUUUCCGAAAGAUCGAGAACUUUUAAAAAAGUGGCUGAUUGUUGUGAAAAAAGAUGACAGCUUCAAACUGACUAAGUAUAAGCUGGUGUCUUCAGAUCAUUUCACAACAACUGAUUUCAUUGUUGUAAAUUAGAGAAAACGAUUGAAAUCGAACGCAAUUCCCAGUGUGAAUUUAGAUGAAAGUCUAGAAGCUUCUUCAACUUCAGUGAGUACUGUGAGUGCUACUUCAGCUGAUAUUUGAAAAGAGUCUCCAUCGAUUAUACCUCAAGGUGUAAAGAGGACAUUAAGUGCUGCGCAGAGAUACCAUGGAAAAAGCAGUAGCAGUACAAGUGGAAGUAAAAGCAAGAACUCAAAAAGUAGUUCUGACAGUAGGGAAGGUGAUAAGCUGGCGUUACAUAAAGAAACUACAUGAAGAAGAAUUCCUAAAUGUUGCAAACAAGUUGAAAAAGGCACAUUUGGAGUGGCGCCAACAUAAAAUGAAAUUCUAUUAUAGGUGAGUUUAGCAGCACAAACUCUUAGCAAGAGUUGUGGAUGCACUUGAAUUUUUAAAAGAUCUUGGUAUUGGUGACUUUCAAGGUUGUGAAACAACAAUAGAAUUCAUCAGAAGGAUAGAUUCUUUAUUUGAUAUUCUCAAUUCCCGAAGUGUACAUGCUAAGAAUUUUAAGGCACCUUUGAGAGAAAACAAUGAAGAAAUGUGGUGUCCAUUUCUCAUCGACACCAAUGAGUAUCUUCUGAAUAUGAAGGAUGUCACUGGAAGGCCUUUGUGGUGCACGCCCCGAAAAACGUCAAUUCUGGGCUUUGCUAUUUCCGCUACGUCGUUCAUGGGAAUUUUUGAUGAAUUUGUUAGUAGUAAGAGGUUGAAUAACUUGCUAACAUAUAAAUGUAGUCAAGAUCAUCUGUAAAUUUUAUUCUGCUCAGUGCGAUCGAGAAAUGGGUGAAACAAUAACCCUACUACUCUACAAUUUUGUAAAAUUUUUAGAAGAUUGCUUCUAUUUACAAACAUAACGAGGGAAGGAGGAAAUUGUAAAGUGCUUUGCACCACCUGUAUGCUCUCUGUUAGCAGUGGCCCAAAGUAAAAGAGCACAAAUGUUCAACAAUCAGUUGACGUGUUUGUCUUGAAAAAAUAUGGUCUCGAUAUUUUGACUGAAGCACUUGCAGAUCAUGACUAUGACCGUCUAAUUUUAUUGGGCCGAGUGAAGUGGCAGAAAACGUUGUGGCAUAUACAGGGUGACUGCGAAAUAUGUGCAAAUAUUUUAACCACGGCAUCCCCCACCCUAGUAGAGCCGAAAUAUAGAAAAAAUAAAUUAAAAAUCGAAUGGGGCAAAACCCCCAUGAACCACCCUCGAUACGAAGGCACUGAGCCACCUUGUAAACAGAGUUGGAAAAACGUUCGAAUAAAAACGACCUAAACACUUUCAGUUUCAAUUAAAAGUAAAACCGACUUUUUGCUGCUUAUCAUUCGUUCAUUCAUUUACUCAUUCAUCGUUAAAGGUCAGUGUGAAAGUUUUUUGGUAAUUUUGAUUCUGACGGAUGUUUGGUGCUUGUCACAACGAUUUUACAUUGUUUAUUGGAACAGAAAUAAGAGCAACUUAGAAUGCUACUACCUUUUUACAAGAAAUGUUGAAAAUGUUGUCCUUGACUAGCAAUUCAAGCGUCAGAGCGUCGCAAGAGGUUUGUUGUUAGGUAAAAAAAACACCGGAGUAGCGGCUGUCACUUUUACUUGUUGAAGCUCUUCGAUUAUUUCUGGACACUGUUGAUUUCCGCAAACGAAUUGUUUCAUCCAACCAAUACACGUUUCUCGAAAACCGUCUCUUGAAAUCGUACUUGUUGACGACCAUGUGGAGUUUCAUCGGACAAAAAGUGAGUUACACAACGUGGACAAUCAGUGGACUCCAAACCGUGCACUUUGUCAACAUGGUAUGGUUGUGACCGUGUACUUUUAAUGUAGGAUCCACUACAAGCUGCGAAAAUCCAAUUUCUUCUUUCUGUCCCAUCACGACCACGAUCGUGAGUUUGAGGUUGAAGGUACCAUGAUCUCGGAGAUGCUGUACCACUGACGUAAAUGUUCGCGCACAUGGAAUCGCGCGAUUUGGAAAGCGUUUGAUCCACAAUUCGCGGGCCAAGCUUGAGUUCCCAUCCGCCACCCCAUACAGCAUUAUCAUGUCGGCACGCUCUGAAUUUGUAAAAUUCACCAUUGUCAAACACAACCGAACACACCCAGCUACGGCAAGUAACUGAUGCACUACUGUCCUUAUCGUCUUUUUGCACUAGUUUUUUGGUUCUUAAACUUCGUCGCUGGGUGCCAUUCAUUGUAGUAAUGAUGUAGGUCAAGAAACACUACCAGCGGCGUGUGUGACAAUUUAUAAGUAAUUUCAAAUAAUUUUUUCCCGACACUGUUACCACUUAGGAUCGUGAAUUUUAUACAGUGACAUACUCGUAUCGUGAGCUAUUCCCCAUUUUUUUUUUGCACAUAUUUCGCAGUCAGGCUAUAUUGGUAGCUAUGUUGUCAAAAUGGUGGUGAAGACGUUUAAGUGCACAGACUGCAUUUCUUCUUGCAUUGAAACACGAGGAAGUGACUUACAGUUUUACAGAUUAUGGGGCAAAAAAAACAUGGGUGGACUUAUUAAACCUUUUGCUGGGGUUGUAAAGACUUGUUGUUAUUGUUAAUACGAAAAAUUUUGCAACUCACCAAUAGCAAACUUCCAAGCGAUGAACAAUUUUUUAAAACUUUCGGCAUGUCAGCAUUCUUUUUCCUAAAUUAGAGGACCCACGCACUCGAGACGGCGGCCAUCGAUGAAGGCCAUUUAUAUAUUCUUAUUAAACAAAUAAUUAAUGUCUACAUGUAAAUAAGAAUGUUUAAUUUGAGCAAAAGACUUCAUGUCUUGCUCAAGGCACUUCUGUUAGACAUGUGUACACAAUUUGUACUGUUUUCGCAUCAAUAAAUAUAUUUAAGUAUAA